UAUGCUCUUCCCAUGCUGACCAUUCUUACAGACAAAGGCGCUGGGAUUGUGACCAGUGUCCCUAGUGAUGCCCCUGAUGAUUAUAUGGCAUUGCAUGACUUGCGAACAAAACCAGCUUUAAGGGAAAAAUAUGGUGUGAAGGAUGAAUGGGUUCCCUUUGAGAUUGUACCAAUCAUCAAUAUUCCAGAAUUUGGAGAUAAGGCUGCUGGAAAAGUUUGCUUGGAUCUGAAAAUUAAAAGCCAAAAUGAGAAAGAGAAACUUGCCGAAGCAAAGAGGUUGACCUCCCUGAGGAUUUACAGGGGGAACAAUGAUUGUUGGAGAAUUUAAAGGGAGAAAAGUCCAGGAAGCAAA
rnacentral:misc_RNA from 1 species